UUAUUAUCGCGUUUUUUCUUAUAAUUUCUGUUCUACAUCGAGUAUUCCUGCAUUCCAAAGGGAAAGUUUGUGAUCCUUAGAUGGCUAAAAAAGCCCACCAAUUUGGAUAAUUAUGGCCGGUAGGUGCUCCAGGAAAAAGGGUGAGGAUAUUUGUGGAAGAAAUAACGUCGUACGAUGCCGAUGGAGGCGAUUGUUGCAUUCGCAUGUUGCAGCCAAAUCGCAUGACUAUUUUCGUCGAACCUGUACGUUGCCUACGGGUCGAUGGCAACGACGGCUUGACCGGCUACAACCAGGAGGAAAAGGAGUCAUCGGUGCGAAUGUACUUAAACGGGUAGAUUCAUCGGAACUUGCGACAUUGAAUAGCAAAGAAAUGGUUUAUCUAAUAAAUUUAUGUAAAUAGUU